CUACUAUUAGAUUCUAACCAUGCAGUGAAAAGUAAUUUUUAAAAAAAUUAAAAUAAGCAAAUCAAUAGCCUUAUCAAAUAAAACUAUCAAGCCGAACCCAAAAUCCAAGAAUCACUUUGUCGAUCACGAUCAAAAUAAAUUCAAGCAUGCAAAGAGAUAGAAAAUUAUACUUUAACUAAUAUGAAAUAUUGAUAUAUUGGUGUUCUCCACA
rnacentral:lncRNA from 1 species